GGGGCUGGGGCUCAGUGGUAGAGUGCUUGCCUAGCAUGUGAGAGGGACUGGGUUCAAUUCUCAGCCCUG
rnacentral:tRNA from 1 species